GAUCUAAUGUUGCCCAGAAGGUCACUCAAAGCCAACCAGCAAUGUUAGUGCAGGAGCAGGAGGCCGUGACCCUGGACCGCACAUACGACACCACUGAGAGCAGUUAUAGUCUAUUCUGGUACAAGCAGCUCAGCACUGGGGCAAUGAUUUUCCUUAUUCGUCAGGACUGUUAUAGCCAGCAAAAUGCCACACAAGGUCGCUACUCUUUGAAUUUUCAGAAAGCAUACAAAUCUGCCAACCUUGUCAUCUCAGCUUCACACCUGGAAGACUCCGCAUUGUAUUUCUGUGCCCUGAGGGAGCCCACAGUGAGAUGUGUGUUUGAAGGAGGUGUAUCAAAACCCCAGGGCUCUUCUUCAUGCAUCCAUCUGCUGUAG